rnacentral:misc_RNA from 1 species
AUGGAAUUCUCAACUUCAUUUGCUUUUGUGAAUGAAGCUUGGACUUGGAGGUAUUGCUGGCCGUACGGUCGGCUCCUCUUGAAUUUAUUAGCUCGAGCCUUUGUGGAUCAGCUUCGGUGUGAUAAUUGUCUACGCCGUUCUGUGAAGCAUGACUAUGGGAUUCGGCUUCCAAUAGUCCUUCACUGGACAAUAUCUUUGACCUU